rnacentral:tRNA from 1 species
GGGGUUGUGGCUCAGAGGUAGAGCGCUUGCCUAGCAUGCAUGAGACAUGAGAAACUGGGUUCGAUCCUU